AUUGAACGCUGGCGGCAGGCUUAAUACAUGCAAGUCGAGCGAGUGGCGGACGUGUGUGUAGCGUCUGGGAACCUGCCUGAUGGAGGGGGAUAAUUACUGGAAACGGUAGCUAAUACCGCAUACCAUCAGAUGUGCCCAGAUGGGAUUAGCUAGUAGGUGGGGUAAUGGCUCACCUAGGCGACGAUCCCUAGCUGGUCUGAGAGGAUGACCAGCCACACGGGACCUGUGACACGGCCCAGACUCCAACGGGAGGCAGCAGUGGGGAAUAUUGCACAAUGGGCGCAAGCCUGAUGCAGCAAUGCCGCGUGGAUAAAGAGGGCUUUCGGGUUGUAAAGUACUUUCAGCGGGGAGGCGGUACCCGCAGAAGAAGCACCGGCUAACUCCGUGCCAGCAGCCGCGGUAAUUC
rnacentral:rRNA from 1 species